ACGAACGCUGGCGGCGUGCUUAACACAUGCAAGUCGAACGGAAAGGCCCUGCUUUUGUGGGGUGCUCGAGUGGCGAACGGGUGAGUAACACGUGAGUAACCUGCCCUUGACUUUGGGAUAACUUCAGGAAACUGGGGCUAAUACCGGAUAGGAGCUCCUGCUGCAUGGUGGGGGUUGGAAAGUUUCGGCGGUUGGGGAUGGACUCGCGGCUUAUCAGCUUGUUGGUGGGGUAGUGGCUUACCAAGGCUUUGACGGGUAGCCGGCCUGAGAGGGUGACCGGCCACAUUGGGACUGAGAUACGGCCCAGACGCCUACGGGAGGCAGCAGUGGGGAAUAUGGCACAAGGGGCGGAAGCCUGAUGCAGCAACGCCGCGUGCGGGAGGACGGCCUUCGGGUGGGAAACCGCUUUCGCCUGUGACGAAGCGUGAGGGACGGUAAUGGGUAAAGAAGCACCGGCGAACUACGU
rnacentral:rRNA from 1 species